UCUUCUCGGUGGUGCCAAGCAAUAGGACAAGAGGCAAUGGGCAAAAACUGAUGUACAGGAAGUUCCACCUGAAUAGGACAAAGAACUUCUUUACUAUGUGGGUGAGCACGCACUGGAACAAAUUGGCCAAAGAGGUUGUGGAGUCUUCCUCACUGGAGAUACCCAAGAACCAUCUGGAUGCAAUCCUGUGCAAUGUGUUCUAGGAUGACCCUGCUUGAGCAGGGAGGUUGGACCACAUGAGCCUACCAUUUGGUCCCUCCCAAUCCUCAGUACUUUGUGAUCUAAAAGACAGUUUUUCUGACAAUGACUUGGAUCACAAGAUACACAUGAAAAGACUAAUUCCUACCAAGGGAUGUGCUGUGAAGCUUAAUAAGCUUUUUGCCUACUGAGUAAGGUUUUGGAGAAGAGAUAAGAGUUCCUGGAAAAAGAGUGGAAACUGCCUCUGCAGCCAUGCCUCUGGCAUCUCUAGCAGCGCACAUGGAUUGGUUCUGCAGGAGGAACGCAGCCGUUGAGGAAAGCAGCGCACAAGGGCUCUGUCAGCUGCUCCAUCACCAUCAUACCACAGCUGGAUCAUCGAGCAGAGUUGCCCAUUCACUUUCUCUGACAUCCUGUCUCCUUUAAGAGUAACUGGUAUCCGAUGGUCAGGGUGAAACUUGAGAAAGCCCUAGUGUGUAAGCUGUUCUAUCCCAAGUCACGUCUCUACCGUAUGUAUUUAGAGAUCAGCUUGGUAUGUAAAACCCUGUCAGCAUUUUUGUUAAUCGGAAUAAGUGAGUAUUGUUGACCAUAUAUUGAAUAAUUUCUUCUAGUGAAAGGUUUUGCAAUCUAACUACCUGCGGAGAAAAGUUUUUUUUCUUCUUUCUGAGAGAUGCUAAAUGCUCUGUAGCUUCUUGAGGUGGAGAGAACAGGAGGUAGUAAACUGCUCUAUACCCUUCUUUCUUCAGUACACUGUUAUGUCUUCUCCUUAAUUUACUUUCUAAGGCAUUUUCUAAGGUUUUUCUAAGUUUCUCUGUGUGUUUAAAUUUCUGAUGGUGUUCAUCUGUUCUUCCGACACCACUGGAUAAGACUAUACUUGAGAUAAGGUGCAUGGUACUAUGCAAGGUACUACAGACGGUAUUGCAUGAACUGAUUUACAUAAAGGUAAAUCACCAACCUUUUCCCUUUUCUACUCUUUUUCAUCCUAACUUCUUGUUACCACAAAGUUUGUUAACCAGUAAUAUCCAGGUCUUUAAAUAAGUGUGUAUGUGUUUGUGUUAUGGCUUCCUAGAGAAGUUUAAAAAAACCAAAACAAACCAGAAACCUGUGAACUGUUGGUCCUCCUCAGUGGCAGUUUCCUAAAUUCAGCAGAAUUUUUCAGCUCCUUACUUCAAAGUUUAGCAUUUGCCUUAAAAAGACAACUGGACCAAAAUCACAUAGAAACUAUGCAUGUUGUGGAAAAGGUCUAGGCAAGACUGCAUGACUUCCUGAAGCAAGAGUUAGGACUUCUAGGAAUGUCCUUCUGCUUUAACUUGUGAAUUUUACGUGACUCAAAUGUAAAAUGGCUUAGAAACAAGCCUUUUCUCCAAUACAUUGCUAUGCUCCUGGCAGUUUUUCUUCCUUAGCCUAAAACAAUAACAAGGCAGACAACAUGAUAUCACUUCAAAGGAAAGGAGGACUAUUAUUCAUCCGAAGAACAUUACCACAAAACCCUUGCACAAACGUACUCUGCAAAACAGGCAGAUGGAGUACAACGUUCUGGGGAGGGAUGGGGGUUGGAGUGGAUGCUCAGAUCCCUGAAUAUCUACAUAAAACAGGAUGUCAGAAUUUUUAAAAUGAAUAUGGUUGUGACUCGUUUGUGCUCAGCUCUAGUGGUCAUUUGCAAUGUGUAAUGUAAAAUGACAAACUAAGAAAAAGAACUUGCGUAUCAAGAUGUGCAUGACUUUCUCUAGUGUGGUGAAUGUUUAUGCUUAUUCUAGGAGUCAUUUGUUAGUGUUAUUUGCAGUUUUUGGACUGUAGAGUAUUUAUUUCAGUUCCCCUCUUUCACUUUGAUUGCACUCUUCUGAUUACAGUUCUUGAUUAUA